AUGGAUAUGGACUUUGGAGAUGCACGGAAAGAAUCCAUUGAGGGUUCAGAUGCGAUGUCGCUGAAAGGGGACGAAGAUUCACAACAUAAAAAUGUCAAAGAGGUUAUAUCUCAUAACAAACCAAAAAAGGAUGCUAAUUUACAUAUUAUCCCACAAGACUAUGUUUGUACCACUAGGGAUAUUACAGUCAUCGAAUCAAUCAAGUCUGCCCCGAAGAAUACCCAGUUCGUAGACAUUGGAGAUGCCUUGUUAUCAACCGACGAUUUGGAAUGCCUUAUUAAAGAUGAUAUGUUCUUACAUGACGGUUUGCUAGGGCUCGAGAAAUGUCUGAAACUUGUAGAGCAUAGUCCGGAGUUUAUCAAAGGUCAUAAGUGGCCUGAUCUCAAUGUUACAAAAUGGACGGUUGUAGAGCAAAUUCAGGAGGCAAUACAAACCGAUGGCGUAUCAUGUGGAUUGUUUAUGCUAAAUUAUAUGGAAUACUGGACACCACAUGGACUGUCAAACCAGUUUACGCAGGAGGAUAUGAAACAUUUUCGACAAAAAUUAGCAAUUAUUUUGCUCGAUUCGGAGCUUAAUAAGUUAAAUGGAUGUCCCAUGUACCAUCAACCUCUCAAUGAAGAAACUUUAGCUAAUUCUGAUCUUGAGAUCCUGGAUAAUCCAUCUGACAUGGUCGAAGAAAAACGUCCCGCCCCAAUCACUAUCAUUCCCGCGGACCAACGUGAAAUACUUGCCGGCCUCUACAACUACAUCAUGAAUGUAUGGGUCCGGAGCUCCACACCCGAUCCCAUGAGCUUAAGUCUUAAGAAACUUCAGUGCAUACUUAACAUGGAGCAGCCCAUGGACAAUGAUUGCUUCAACACCGCCGUGCUUAUGCUGGCAUGUGAUGAGGGAGUAUUGUUCACAGACCCUCCUAUACACUACAUGGAUCUACGAUUUUGUUCCAUGCUGAUAGAGUCAACACGAGGUCAGAAAUUUUGUGAGAAGGAAACUAUCCAGACGUUGGCAACAUUAUUUGAUAGCUGGCCUGGGAUGGAGACCGACAUCUCAUCUUGCAAUAAGAUUUAUCUUCCCUAUGCAUCCAUCGGCUGA
rnacentral:rRNA from 1 species